UACCAUGGGAAGACUUUCGGUCCAUCGU
rnacentral:piRNA from 1 species